UGAUUUGAUGUUAGGAAGGCAAAUCCGCCGAAUUUAAGCAUAUAAUUAAGCGGAAGAAAAGAAAAUAACAAUGAUUUCUUUAGUAACGGCGAGUGAACAAGAAAAAGCUCAAGGAGAUAAUUCUAUAUCGUAGUUGUAAAAAGACUAUGUGUAUAGAAAUUGUUCUGUUAUAAGGAAGAAGUAAUCUGAGAAUAUAUGGGAUUUAUAUAUAUAUUUAGUUAUCGAAAUAAGUAGGAAUACUUUCCCAUAGAGGGUGAAAGGCCCGUAGUUAAUAAAUAUAUAAAGUUCUUUUUUUUUGGAUAAUUUUUUUUUUAAAGAGUAGUGCUCUUUGAGAUUGGAGUACAAAGAUGUGUGAUACAUUUCACAUAAGGCUAAAUAUAUAUAGGAGACCGAUAGGAAACAAGUACCGUGAGGGAAAGAUGAAAUAGUACUCAGGAAUGAGCAGUUAAAUAGUACCUGAAAUCGUUAAGGUGGAACGGAUUAAGAAAGGAAAAUGUAAGAAGAUAGUAAAUAUUACUCGGCGAGUUUUAUUAAGAUACGAUUUUUUUAUAAAAAGAAACAUGAGUGAACGAGAAUAAAUUAUAAUAUAAUUAUAUUAGAUAGGUAUAGAAUAGAUACACAGGACUAAGGGGGGAGGAGUAGUAAGAAAAAGGGUGCAGUGUAAAAGGGUUAUGCUUGUAUGUUUGAGUAUUCACUGCUUCUUUUUUUUUUUUUCUGUAAUUUUAUAUCUAUUUAAUUAAAGUAUCCUUAGCUAAUAAUAAUUUAUGAAGGAAGAACUUAAUUUAUAUGAGUUUUAAAAGGCAUGAUUAUAUUGUAUAUUAUAUGAUAUAUAUAUAAUUAUGUUUUAACCGAAAUGCGUAUAAUUAUUCUGUUUACUGAGGAAAGAGGUAAACAAUAGUGUGAACUAAGAAUGGGAUAUUUCUUUUUUCUGAUUGUAAGUUGUUUUUAAAUAGUACUUUUUUAACCCACUCGUCUUGAAACACGGACCAAGGAGUCUAACAAAUGUGCGAGCGUAUGUGAUAUGAAUAAAAACAUAUAUAAAUUUUUAGUUACGCGUAAUUAAUGUGAAUUUUUUGUGGAUGCGCCGGACAAUAGUGCAUUUGGUUUCUGGCUUGCAAACAAUACCGAUAAGCAAUAAGAUAAUUAAGUUUAUUUGAGUAUGAGUACAUUUGUUAGGACCCGAGAGGCUUUGAACUAAGCGUGAUGAGAUUGAAGUCAGACGAAAGUCUGAUGGAGGAUCGAGUUGAUACUGACGUGCAAAUCGUUCAUUACAAUCACGUUUAGGGGCGAAAGACUAAUCGAAAAGCCUAUUAGCUGGUUAUUUUCGAAAGAUCUCUCAGGAUCGCUGGAGUUGAGUUGAUUAUAAUUUUAUAAGGUAGAGACAAUGAUUAGAGGGUUUAGGGGAUUAAAUAUUUCUUAACCUAUUCUCAAACUUCCAAUAUGUAAAGAGGGUGCGAUAUCUGAAAAGUAUUUCACUUUGGCGUAAAUAAGAUAACUCCAAGUGGGCCAUUUUUGGUAAGCAGAACUGGCGAUGAGGGAUGCUCCUAACGCCUGGAUAAGGUGCCUAAAUAUUCGCUC
rfam:Plasmodium falciparum MaliPS096_E11 unplaced genomic scaffold supercont1.105, whole genome shotgun sequence.